AUUGAACGCUGGCGGCAGGCCUAACACAUGCAAGUCGAGCGGAUGAAGGGAGCUUGCUCCUGGAUUCAGCGGCGGACGGGUGAGUAAUGCCUAGGAAUCUGCCUGGUAGUGGGGGAUAACGUCCGGAAACGGGCGCUAAUACCGCAUACGUCCUGAGGGAGAAAGUGGGGGAUCUUCGGACCUCACGCUAUCAGAUGAGCCUAGGUCGGAUUAGCUAGUUGGUGGGGUAAAGGCCUACCAAGGCGACGAUCCGUAACUGGUCUGAGAGGAUGAUCAGACACACUGGAACUGAGACACGGUCCAGACUCCUACGGGAGGCAGCAGUGGGGAAUAUUGGACAAUGGGCGAAAGCCUGAUCCAGCCAUGCCGCGUGUGUGAAGAAGGUCUUCGGAUUGUAGAGCACUUUAAGUUGGGAGGAAGGGCAGUAAGUUAAUACCUUGCUGUUUUGACGUUACCAACAGAAUAAGCACCGGCUAACUUCGUG
rnacentral:rRNA from 1 species